rnacentral:rRNA from 1 species
UACGGAGGGUGCAAGCGUUCCUCGGAAUCACUGGGCGUAAAGGAUGCGUAGGCUGGAAAUCAAGUCGAGAGUGAAAUCCAACGGCUCAACCGUUGAACUGCUCUCGAAACUGGUUACCUAGAAUAUGGGAGAGGUAGAUGGAAUUAGUGGUGUAGGGGUAAAAGCCGUAGAUAGCACUAGGAAUACCGAUUGCGAAGGCGAUCUACUGGAACAGUAUUUACUCGGAGUCAUUAACUCUUAGAACGCCAACAGUAUUCGAUCCCAGCGGAGUCC